GAUGAACGCUAGCUACAGGCUUAACACAUGCAAGUCGAGGGGCAGCACAAGGCAGCAAUGCUGAGGUGGCGACCGGCGCACGGGUGCGUAACGCGUAUCCAACCUUCCCGUUACUCAGGGAUAGCCUUCCGAAAGGGAGAUUAAUACCUGAUGGUGUUUGAAUUCCGCAUGUUAUUCAAACUAAAGAUUUAUCGGUAACGGAUGGGGAUGCGUGACAUUAGGUAGAUGGCGGGGUAACGGCCCACCAUGCCUACGAUGUCUAGGGGUUCUGAGAGGAAGGUCCCCCACACUGGAACUGAGACACGGUCCAGACUCCUACGGGAGGCAGCAGUGAGGAAUAUUGGUCAAUGGUCGGAAGACUGAACCAGCCAAGUAGCGUGAAGGAUGAAGGUUCUAUGGAUUGUAAACUUCUUUUAUACGGGAAUAAAACCACCUACGUGUAGGUGCUUGUAUGUACCGUAUGAAUAAGCAUCGGCUAACUCCGUGCCAGCAGCCGCGGU
rnacentral:rRNA from 1 species